GACGAACGCUGGCGGCGUGCUUAACACAUGCAAGUCGAGCGGAAAGGCCCUUCGGGGUUCUCGAGCGGGGAAGGGGUGCGUGACACGUGCGUAACAUGCACCAGCCCUUGGGAUAACCAUCGGUAACGGGGGCUAAUACUGGAUACUCCUACUAAAUCGUACGACUUGGUUGGGAAAGUUAUUCGGCUGGGGAUGGACUCGGGGCCGAUCAGCUUGUUGGUGGGGUAGUGGCUUACCAAGGCUAGGACGGGUAGCCGGCCUGAGAGGGCGACCGGCCACACUGGGACUGAGACACGGCCCAGACUCCUACGGGAGGCAGCAGUGGGGAAUAUUGCACAAUGGGCGGAAGCCUGAUGCAGCGACGCCGCGUGAGGGAUGACGGCCUUCGGGUUGUAAACCGCUUUCGGCAGGGACGAAGCGUAAGUGACGGUACCGGCAGAAGAAGCACCGGCUAACUACGUG
rnacentral:rRNA from 1 species